rnacentral:rRNA from 1 species
GUGGUCCCGAGUGGAAGGGCCAUCGCUCAACGGAUAAAAGGUACGCCGGGGAUAACAGGCUGAUGAUUCCCAAGAGCUCAUAUCGACGGAAUCGUUUGGCACCUCGAUGUCGGCUCAUCACAUCCUGGGGCUGAAGCCGGUCCCAAGGGUAUGGCUGUUCGCCAUUUAAAGUGGUACGCGAGCUGGGUUUAGAACGUCGUGAGACAGUUCGGUCCCUAUCUGCCGUGGGUGUAGGAUACUUGAGAGGAGUUGCCCCUAGUACGAGAGGACCGGGGUGAACGAUCCACUGGUGGACCUGUUGUGGCGCCAGCCGCAGUGCAGGGUAGCUAUGAUCGGAAAGGAUAACCGCUGAAGGCAUCUAAGCGGGAAGCCCCCCUCAAAACAAGGUAUCCCUGAGAGCCGAGGUAGACCACCUCGUCGAUAGGCCAGAGAUGUAAGCGUAGUAAUACGUUCAGUUGACUGGUACUAAUGGCUCGAU